UACGAAGGGUGCAAGCGUUAAUCGGAAUUACUGGGCGUAAAGGGUGCGUAGGCGGUUCGUUAAGUCUGUCGUGAAAUCCCCGGGCUCAACCUGGGAAUGGCGAUGGAUACUGGCGAGCUAGAGUGUGUCAGAGGAUGGUGGAAUUCCCGGUGUAGCGGUGAAAUGCGUAGAGAUCGGGAGGAACAUCAGUGGCGAAGGCGGCCAUCUGGGACAACACUGACGCUGAAGCACGAAAGCGUGGGGAGC
rnacentral:rRNA from 1 species